GGCCACCCUUUGAAACAGAAAGCAGUAAGAGCCAACACAAAAGGGAUGAGCCCCGACACUACGGACCCAUCCCUGAAGAGAUUUCAUGCAGAGAGCCUGGAAGCAAAUGUGAAGGAGAUUAAAAAACAAAACAAAGCAAAGUAACUAACGUACCCAGUCCCCAGGCAUCAAGAUGAGAAAUGCCAUUGUAGCUGGUGACUUCGUAUAGGAUGGAGCAGUCUGCCAUUUUCCAAAUGUGAAUGGUUCACAGGCCAUACCUUCUUCUGUAAGUUGCAACUUCUGAGGAAACUGAGUGGGGUAAGCCAUUUACCUCUCUUGUGGCACCGGGAUCUCUCCCAGUUUUUGUUUCUCCUGCUCCCACUGCUACAAUAAGUCUUUUGGAGUAUGAGAUGUCUCUGGGGAAUGGAUAGGGAGUUUUAGUUUAAU
rnacentral:lncRNA from 1 species